GUAUGGCUCCUACCAAGGCUGAGGCUGAUGUAGAGGAGGGAGAAGAGCCGAAGAAGAAGGAAAGGAAAGCAGCCGGAGCUGCUUUCACGUGGAUUCAAGCAAACUUUGCGCAUUGCCCUGCGGAUGCCACUGAUGAUGUGAUACAGACACAUGCUCGUGUCUAUAUGUGCUGGACGAUGCGUGUUGCAGGAUCACAGAUAGGGCAGGCAUUGGUGGUAAUAUGCUUCUACUUUCUGUAUGGAGCUGGGAGCGUCUGCCUGUUGGACGCCCGAAGAGCGUCAGGUUUAAUCCUUGGUAUGAAGAUGAAGAUGACGACUUACGGCGCCCCACUUGGGCUUACAAGUGGGAUGUGGUUUCCGAGAUGACGAACGAUGUCAAUCUCAUGUACCAAAAGUACAUUGCCGAGUUGGACACGAUUACGCCUGAGCAGGUGGAAUGGCAGCCAUAUGGCGCCGAUGACAGACUUGGGUACACCCCGGAGUUUUCCAUCAACCCGAUGUGCUUGCGGGAUAGGGAUCUCUGGCUUAUGCGGUGCCCACUGAUAUGCAACUGGGCUGUUGAGUUUCAUUUGCCACAUCGCGUG